rnacentral:rRNA from 1 species
UACAGAGGUCUCAAGCGUUGUUCGGAUUCAUUGGGGCGUAAAGGGUGCGUAGGCGGCGCGGUAAGUCGGGUGUGAAAUCUCGGAGCUUAACUCCGAAACUGCAUUCGAUACUGGCGUGCUUGAGGACUGGAGAGGAGACUGGAAUUUACGGUGUAGCGGUGAAAUGCGUUAGAUAUCGUAAGGAAGACCAGUGGCUGAAGGGACGG